GAUGAACGCUGGCGACGUGCCUAAUACAUGCAAGUCGAGCGAACAGACGAGGAGCUUGCUCCUCUGACGUUAGCGGCGGACGGGUGAGUAACACGUGGAUAACCUACCUAUAAGACUGGGAUAACUUCGGGAAACCGGAGCUAAUACCGGAUAACAUGUUGAACCGCAUGGUUCAACAGUGAAAGACGGUUUUGCUGUCACUUAUAGAUGGAUCCGCGCCGCAUUAGCUAGUUGGUAAGGUAACGGCUUACCAAGGCAACGAUGCGUAGCCGACCUGAGAGGGUGAUCGGCCACCCUGGAACUGAGACACGGCCCAGACUCCUACGGGAGGCAGCAGUAGGGAAUCUUACGCAAUGGGCGAAAGCCUGACGGAGCAACGCCGCGUGAGUGAAGAAGGUCUUCGGAUCGUAAAACUCUAUUAUUAGGGAAGAACAAAUGUGUAAGUAACUAUGCACGUCUUGACGGUACCUAAUCAGAAAGCCACGGCUAACUACGUG
rnacentral:rRNA from 1 species